rnacentral:misc_RNA from 1 species
AACGCAACUUGCGCUCUCUGGUAUUCCGGAGAGCAUGCCUGUUUGAGUGUCAUGAAAUCUCAACCAUUAGGGUUUCUUAAUGGCUUGGAUUUGGAGGUUGCCAGUCUAACUGGCUCCUCUUAAAGGAGUUAGCAAGUUUACUAUUGCUAUCUGGCGUAAUAAGUUUCGCUGGAAUGGCAUUGUGAAGCGUGCUUCUAAUCGUCCUCGGACAAUUUUUUGACUCUGGCCUCAAAUCAGGUAGGACUACCCGCUGAACUUAA